AUUCUUUCUCAUGCACACGUUUAUGCAUACUUACACUCACAGAGAUUAUCCAGCAGUUCAGAACAGUUAGCCAGUCAGAUCAUUCCAUAUUAGCUUCCACUUUUGCACAGGAUCAAACACAAAAAUGUUCCUACUUAUUUUUUGAUUUUUCUAAUUUCUCAGGUUUGUGUCAGAAUGUCUCUAUGGGAACCAAUGACAUCAUGUGAAGGGUGAGUUGGAGAUGCUGGUACACUCUGAGCGGCACGUAGACCAAACGCUCUCCAACCACAAGAAACCACAAACAGCUCAUGGGCAACAUCAUCCAGGAAUAUGUGAUGAAUGUCUUACAUUGACACUCACAAAAGUCACAGCAAGAAAGAGGAGGAUGAAGAUGCCAUGACGAGCACCUGAAGAUGAAGGAUAAGGAACAUAUGCAGCAGCAUGAUAACUUCUGCAGCUCACAGGUGCAAAACCAAUGCCAAACAGGAGCAGCCAGAGGGAAAAAGAGAAAUUUCAUUUUCCCAAAAGAGGGACUUUUUUCUGCUUUUUUCUUCUCUUCUAAUCAGUAGCACGAAGAGCAUUAAACGGGUAAUACUGCAAUGAGCCUCUACUUCUAAAUCAUAUUAACAUUGUUUACCUAGUUUUUGUUGAAAGGAAAUUAAAGAAAUGAUAGAAAGCAUUUAGA